UACGUAGGUGGCAAGCGUUGUCCGGAAUUAUUGGGCGUAAAGCGCGCGCAGGUGGUUUCUUAAGUCUGAUGUGAAAGCCCACGGCUCAACCGUGGAGGGUCAUUGGAAACUGGGGAACUUGAGUGCAGGAGAGAAGAGUGGAAUUCCACGUGUAGCGGUGAAAUGCGUAGAGAUGUGGAGGAACACCAGUGGCGAAGGCGACUCUUUGGCCUGUAACUGACACUGAGGCGCGAAAGCGUGGGAGCAAACAGG
rnacentral:rRNA from 1 species